ensembl:lncRNA
CUCCCCUGGCGUGAUUGUUACUGUUUUAUACACAAAAAUUGUACUUUAUAUACUUGUACUUUGAUGUUUAAUAAAAAUAAAUAAAUAAAAAAAUAAUAAAAAAAAAACAUCUCUUUACUGUUUAGGCUAUGUGUUGUAGCCAUUAAAGAAAACAUAUUUGGUUUCAUAUUUGUUUAAAUAUUAUAGGCUAAUGUAAUUUUUUUAUUUAUUUAAUCAAUGUUUAUUAUGAAAGUGAGCAUGCAGCAUGAGAAAGAUAUGAUACAUCAUGCGCAAUAGCCUAUGAGACAUGGAGUGGGUAAGACAUGAUUUUGACCACUUUAUUGAGUUUUGUUUUGUAGAAAGACUCUGUUUAAAAGAUUUUCGUUUUGUAUAAAUUGUAUCUUAAUUUUGAUCAAUAUUUUAUCAACCCAUUGCCUGUAUUUAAUAAACAAGCAAAUAUAUUAGCAGACAAUGUAAUAAGGUGCCGGCACAUCACUUGUAUUGCACGUGAACUGGAGGGCGCAGAAACUCAGCUUGUGCCUCACAGACAGUUUUGAGAAAUAUAGGCUAUAUAUUAUAGAAAGCUUAAAAAUGUCUACUUUUAAACGAAAAUAUUCAAAACGAAAAGAAAUAGGCUACUCUCUGAAUAUGUAGGCCUAAUCCAUAUGAAAUGUGCAUUUCUCUCUGGCGUUCAUGGCGAGUCCGCAUCGUCUUUGCAGCGACACAGAAAACACCAUUUUAUUAAUAAACAAUUAAAUGUCUCCUUGCUAUUUUUGACAAAUUCAUAAUCAUUUCUUCAGCCGGUUCUUUGUGGCAAAAUUAUGCAUGCGGUCGUGCGCUUGAGAGCGGCUAUCGCCGUUUCAUCGACGUUAUUGUUGACAUCCUUUGUUUGAGAAGAAUUCCCAUCACUAUUUUUACUUUUCUUAACUGUGUUACCCGAAAAAAAGUCCGAAAUACGUUUCUGCUGCUUAUUGCUAGCCAUGACCAAACAAGUGUGAGGUGACGGAAGCAUUCCUGAGGAGGCUAGGUUAGUCUUUUAUAAAACGAAAUAUUAAAAUAAUUAAUCAUUAGUUUAUAUCUUAUACACUAUAUCUUAAUCCCACAUUAAACACAUUGUUAUGUCUG